rnacentral:rRNA from 1 species
CAUUAUAGGAUCUACACUUUGCAGCUAGCCCCUCAGCUUGGUCUACAGGAGAUAAAAACUUUGUGGUGGGAUGGCAUGGAUGAAUGCCCAUAUUUAAGAACAUGGCUAGUUGUGUGUGGCGACAUGCUUCUCAUUGUUGAUCAUUGCAUCAACUUAUCAUUGGGAGCACCAGUGACCUAUAAACCCUACCGCCUCAAUAUCUGUACCAAGCCGGCAAAAUGGGUGGAGGUAAAGAAGCUGGAAAAUUGGGCACUCUUUGUUGAGGGUGAUGUGAGGAGCACACCAUUUUCUUGCAUGAGCCCAGAACUAUGGGGAGGUAGGAUGAAUUGCUUGUACUAUGCCCAUUACUCUGAACCUUGCAACAUACAUGGGUUUGGUGAUGAGGCAGAUGCUGUGUGGGAUCCGUCGACCAAUCCUGACCUUUUGUACAAAAGAAACUGGUACCGCCAGCUGCAGGCCCUCUGGGUGUAUCCAAGUGUGUUCUAUUCUGAUAGCGAAUGA